GACAGCUCAGUUGGCAAAGCAUGAGACUCGUAAUCUCAGGGUUGUGGGUUCGAGUUGGGCAAAAGAUCCCUGCAUUGCA